GACGAACGCUGGCGGCGUGCUUAACACAUGCAAGUCGAACGGAAAGGCCCUGCUUGCAGGGUACUCGAGUGGCGAACGGGUGAGUAACACGUGGGUGAUCUGCCCUGCACUUCGGGAUAAGCCUGGGAAACUGGGUCUAAUACCGGAUAGGAGCCAUUUUUAGUGUGAUGGUUGGAAAGUUUUUUCGGUGUAGGGUGAGCUCGCGGCCUAUCAGCUUGUUGGUGGGGUAAUGGCCUACCAAGGCGGCGACGGGUAGCCGGCCUGAGAGGGUGGACGGCCACAUUGGGUCUGAGGGACGGCCCAGGCGCCUAAGGGAGGAAACAGGGGGGAAUAUUGCACAAUGGGCGCAAGCCUGAUGCAGCGACGCCGCGUGGGGGAUGACGGCCUUCGGGUUGGAAAAUCCUUUCGCUAGGGACGAAGCCUUUUGUGACGGUACCUAGAUAAGAAGCACCGGCUAACUACGUG
rnacentral:rRNA from 1 species